GGUUGGAUGGCAAAAUUGCUAUUUUCAAGAGAGUCAGGCUUCUAGGGUGGGGAGCU
rnacentral:ncRNA from 17 species